rfam:Camelus ferus unplaced genomic scaffold scaffold178, whole genome shotgun sequence.
GAGUGUAUACCUCAGUGUUAGAGUAUGUGCCUAGCAUGCAUGCGGUCCUGGGUUCAAUCCCCAGUACUUCCA